AUGGAAGUGUCCCUUCCUCCUGGUCGUGCUCUGAAGCAGUGGGGACUGGGAGCCCUGCUUCCCCCAGUGACAGCUGGUACAAGUGGUUGUGGCAUUCCUCACCAGGCUGUGCUUGAAGACAAUAACAAUUAUCUUAAUUUCUCUGCCUGUGCGGAGCACCGCAGUACCACAAAGCUGAGUCCUGAGCCAGUUCCAGAUCUGAGUGCGUGCUUUUGGGAGCUGAGCACGGAGCUUCACGAGAAGCACAGCCCUGCCUUGCUGCCUUCCCCUUGCUGUGCUACUUCAACUACAGAGCUGAAACACAAAACGUCUCCACAAAGCUGUCUGGCUUUAGGAACCUCUGAAUGUGUGGACGAAGGGCCUGAGCAAAUGGUCCCACCCUGUGCAGCGUUCAGCACUUUUGGAGGUGGAUGGACAAGGGAUGCAGUCGUCACAGCUCAUGGCUCUGGUAAAGGAGAGAGGCAGUUGCAGAGGGCAGCCCUGGUCUACCUACCGCCAUGGAAACUCAUUUGUCUCUAUUCAGGAUUUUCCCUUAGCUGA
rnacentral:lncRNA from 1 species